rnacentral:antisense_RNA from 1 species
UUUGAUCGAGCCGAGAAGCAGCGGCCGCUCGCGAUCCUGCCCAUAGGUGGCGAGCAGCGCCUGCGCCUC